GAUGAACGCUGGCGGCGUGCCUAAUACAUGCAAGUCGAGCGAACGGACGAGAAGCUUGCUUCUCUGAUGUUAGCGGCGGACGGGUGAGUAACACGUGGAUAACCUACCUAUAAGACUGGGAUAACUUCGGGAAACCGGAGCUAAUACCGGAUAAUAUUUUGAACCGCAUGGUUCAAAAGUGAAAGACGGUCUUGCUGUCACUUAUAGAUGGAUCCGCGCUGCAUUAGCUAGUUGGUAAGGUAACGGCUUACCAAGGCAACGAUGCAUAGCCGACCUGAGAGGGUGAUCGGCCACACUGGAACUGAGACACGGUCCAGACUCCUACGGGAGGCAGCAGUAGGGAAUCUUCCGCAAUGGGCGAAAGCCUGACGGAGCAACGCCGCGUGAGUGAUGAAGGUCUUCGGAUCGUAAAACUCUGUUAUUAGGGAAGAACAUAUGUGUAAGUAACUGUGCACAUCUUGACGGUACCUAAUCAGAAAGCCACGGCUAACUACGUGCCAGCAGCCGCGGUAAUACGUAGGUGGCAAGCGUUAUCCGGAAUUAUUGGGCGUAAAGCGCGCGUAGGCGGUUUUUUAAGUCUGAUGUGAAAGCCCACGGCUCAACCGUGGAGGGUCAUUGGAAACUGGAAAACUUGAGUGCAGAAGAGGAAAGUGGAAUUCCAUGUGCAGCGGUGAAAUGCGCAGAGAUAUGGAGGAACACCAGUGGCGAAGGCGACUUUCUGGUCUGUAACUGACGCUGAUGUGCGAAAGCGUGGGGAUCAAACAGGAUUAGAUACCCUGGUAGUCCACGCCGUAGACGAUGAGUGCUAAGUGUUAGGGGGUUUCCGCCCCUUAGUGCUGCAGCUAACGCAUUAAGCACUCCGCCUGGGGAGUACGACCGCAAGGUUGAAACUCAAAGGAAUUGACGGGGACCCGCACAAGCGGUGGAGCAUGUGGUUUAAUUCGAAGCAACGCGAAGAACCUUACCAAAUCUUGACAUCCUUUGACAACUCUAGAGAUAGAGCCUUCCCCUUCGGGGGACAAAGUGACAGGUGGUGCAUGGUUGUCGUCAGCUCGUGUCGUGAGAUGUUGGGUUAAGUCCCGCAACGAGCGCAACCCUUAAGCUUAGUUGCCAUCAUUAAGUUGGGCACUCUAAGUUGACUGCCGGUGACAAACCGGAGGAAGGUGGGGAUGACGUCAAAUCAUCAUGCCCCUUAUGAUUUGGGCUACACACGUGCUACAAUGGACAAUACAAAGGGCAGCGAAACCGCGAGGUCAAGCAAAUCCCAUAAAGUUGUUCUCAGUUCGGAUUGUAGUCUGCAACUCGACUACAUGAAGCUGGAAUCGCUAGUAAUCGUAGAUCAGCAUGCUACGGUGAAUACGUUCCCGGGUCU
rnacentral:rRNA from 1 species